GAUGAACGCUGGCGGCGUGCUUAACACAUGCAAGUCGAACGGAAAGGCCCUGCUUUUGUGGGGUGCUCGAGUGGCGAACGGGUGAGUAACACGUGAGUAACCUGCCCUUGACUUUGGGAUAACUUCAGGAAACUGGGGCUAAUAUCGGAUAGGAGCUCCUGCUGCAUGGUGGGGGUUGGAAAGUUUCGGCGGUUGGGGAUGGACUCGCGGCUUAUCAGCUUGUUGGUGGGGUAGUGGCUUACCAAGGCUUUGACGGGUAGCCGGCCUGGGAGGGUGGCCGGCCACAAUGGGACUGAGGGAGGGCGCAGUCUCGUACGGGAGGCAGCGGGGGGGAGUAUGGCACAGUGGGCGGAAGCCUGAUACGGCGGCGCCGGGUGCGUAAAGACGGCUUUCGGGGUAAGAACCGCUUUCGCCUGUGACGAAGCGUGAGUGACGGUAAUGAAUAAAGAAGCACCGGCUAACUACGUG
rnacentral:rRNA from 1 species